AUUGAACGCUGGCGGCAGGCCUAACACAUGCAAGUCGAACGAGUGGCGGACGGGUGAGUAAUGUCUGGGAAACUGCCCGAUGGAGGGGGAUAACUAGUGGAAAAGGUAGAUAAUAACGCAUACCAUCGGAUGAGCCCAGAUGGGAUUAGCUGGUGGGUGGGGUAAUGGCUGACCUGGGCGACGAUCCCUAGCUGGUCUGAGGGGAUGACCACCCACACUGGAACUGCGACACGGUCCAGCCUCCUACGGGAGGAAGCGGUGGGGAAUUUUGGACAAUGGGCGCAAGCCUGAUGCAGCCAUGCCGCGUGUAUGUAGAGGGCCUUCGGGUUGUAAAGUACUUUCAGCGGGGAGGCGUUACCCGCAGAAGAAGCCCCGGCUAACUCCGUGCCAGCAGCCGCGGUAAUAC
rnacentral:rRNA from 1 species